UUCGCCAUUUAAAGUGGUACGCGAGCUGGGUUUAGAACGUCGUGAGACAGUUCGGUCCCUAUCUGCCGUGGGCGCUGGAGAACUGAGGGGGGCUGCUCCUAGUACGAGAGGACCGGAGUGGACGCAUCACUGGUGUUCGGGUUGUCAUGCCAAUGGCACUGCCCGGUAGCUAAAUGCGGAAGAGAUAAGUGCUGAAAGCAUCUAAGCACGAAACUUGCCCCGAGAUGAGUUCUCCCUGAGACUUAGAGUCUCCUGAAGGAACGUUGAAGACGACGACGUUGAUAGGCCGGGUGUGUAAGCGCAGCGAUGCGUUGAGCUAACCGGUACUAAUGAACCGUGAGGCUUAACCUUACAACGCCGAAG
rnacentral:rRNA from 2 species